GGCUCUGCGAGACGUGGCCGCUGUCCCCGCUCCACGCGGCGCCCAACGGCUCGGCCUCCUCGGUAGAGACCUCUCGAGACAGGGUUCCGACGGCGGGUCCUUCCUCCAUGGCCCGCUCGGCCGCUUCCGGUGCUGAGCGAUUGCGUUACGGUCUGAGAUGCCUGCUUCCGGCGCCUCCUAAAGACGUCACGCCCCUAACAAGUAGCCAAGCCUACUAUCCACAUGCCCAGAGAGCCCGCAGUGCUUCUGGCUGGCUUGUCGGUGCGUUCGUAGUGUGUGCCAGCAGAGUUUGCACAAGGAUAGCAAAAUAAACUGUAAGCAAAAGCAAGAACAGUGGAACACAAAAGUCAACCUAACGAGUGGUCAUCUCAGCCUCCUCACAAAAGAAGUACUCUCACCCAAGCAUGGAUUCCAUCACAAUGCUACCAGAAAAACAAACAAACAAACACAAAAACAAGGAAUUAGAGAAGAAAAACAACUUUGAGCAACAAAAUAGAGAAAGCUACAAGCUGCUUCAGUUCUCCAUCAUGUCAGUCCAUCUGGGUCAGCUGACUGGAGUCUAUCGCUGUGAACCUGAAACACAUCGCGGGGAGAACUUGCCACGGAGACAAAGAAUAUCAGCCUUUCAUAGCCCAGGAUUAAAAAAUAAUAAUAAAGAAAAAAAUACUA
rnacentral:lncRNA from 1 species